AAUAGAUACCCGGGUAGUCCACGCCGUAAACGAUGAGUGCUAAGUGUUAGGGGGUUUCCGCCCCUUAGUGCUGCAGCUAACGCAUUAAGCACUCCGCCUGGGGAGUACGGUCGCAAGACUGAAACUCAAAGGAAUUGACGGGGGCCCGCACAAGCGGUGGAGCAUGUGGUUUAAUUCGAAGCAACGCGAAGAACCUUACCAGGUCUUGACAUCCCAUUGACCACUAUGGAGACAUAGUUUUCCCUUCGGGGACAACGGUGACAGGUGGUGCAUGGUUGUCGUCAGCUCGUGUCGUGAGAUGUUGGGUUAAGUCCCGCAACGAGCGCAACCCUUGUUCUUAGUUGCCAUCAUUUAGUUGGGCACUCUAAGGAGACUGCCGGUGACAAACCGGAGGAAGGUGGGGAUGACGUCAAAUCAUCAUGCCCCUUAUGACCUGGGCUACACACGUGCUACAAUGGACGGUACAAACGGUUGCCAACCCGCGAGGGGAGCUAAUCCGAUAAAACCGUUACUCAGUCGUAGUAGUAGUCGUGCGACUAC
rnacentral:rRNA from 1 species